UCAGGCCUAACACAUGCAAGUCGAGCGGCAGCGGGAAAGUAGCUUGCUACUUUUGCCGGCGAGCGGCGGACGGGUGAGUAAUGCCUGGGAAAUUGCCCAGUCGAGGGGGAUAACAGUUGGAAACGACUGCUAAUACCGCAUACGCCCUACGGGGGAAAGCAGGGGACCUUCGGGCCUUGCGCGAUUGGAUAUGCCCAGGUGGGAUUAGCUAGUUGGUGAGGUAAUGGCUCACCAAGGCGACGAUCCCUAGCUGGUCUGAGGGGAUGAUCAGCCACACUGGAGCUGAGACACGGUCCAGACUCCUACGGGAGGCAGCAGUGGGGAAUAUUGCACAAUGGGGGAAACCCUGAUGCAGCCAGGCCGCGUGUGUGAAGAAGGCCUUCGGGUUUAAAGCAAUGGAGCGAGGAGGAAAGGUUGAUGCCUAAUAC
rnacentral:rRNA from 1 species